CUUCACCCGAAAAAUACAACAAUACAAGACACACCAUUAAUUAUUAAAUUUAAACCCUAAUUAAGGAAGCAUAAACCCAGAUAGUAUAUAUAUAAUAUGGUUUACUAUACACAAACCUCUAUUUAGUAAAUCUAAACCCUAAGCAGGAACCUAUAAACUCAAAUACAAUCUAUAAAUUUUUUUCCAAUAUUGGACACUUGAAGGCACAUUUUGAAUAUUAAACCUUAAACUGCUAUCACUAAACCCAAGCCUUAACCACACACCUUCCAAAUACUAACCUUUAAACUCUAAUUACUAAACCCUAAACCCAAGUAUAGCCCCUAAACCCAAAUAUAAUGGAAUAAAAUAAAUAGUAUAGUACAUAUUGGUGAACAAAAUAGAACACUCUUUAUUAAUUGUCAAAUGAAACGAUACAUGUUCACUAAACCCAAAUCCCAAUCCCGCCCUUCUAAAUACUAAACUCUAAAUCCUAAUCACUAAACCCUAAACCCAAGUAUAAACCCUAAACCCAAAUAUAAACCAUAAACCCUAAACUCUAAACCCAAAUCUCAAAAUCCUAAUCACUAAACCCUAAACCCAAGUAUAAACCCUAAACCCAAAUAUAAACCAUAAACCCUAAACUCUAAACCCAAAUCUCAAAAUCU
rnacentral:lncRNA from 1 species